UUAAGUUAUUAAGAGUUUAUGGAGGAUACCUUGGGACUAAAUGGCGAAGAAGGUCGUACGAAUCUGCGAAAAGCUACGGGGAGCUGAUAAGAAGCAUUAAUCCGUAGAUCACCGAAUGAGGCAACUCAAUUAAUAGUAAUAUUAAUUAUUUUGAUGAUGAAAAAAUAGUUAUCAAAAAGCGAAACGUCGUGAAGUGAAUCAUCUCAGUAACGAUAGGAAAAGAAAACAAAAUGAUUCCCUUAGUAGUGGCGAGCGAACCGGGAAUAGGCCAAACCAUGUUUGACAUGGGGUUAUAGGACUUCAAUGUGGAAGUAAGUAAAAUAGUAGAAAUUGUUGGAAAGCAAUAUCAUAGAAGGUGAAAAUCCUGUAUACGAAAUUUUGCUUAUACCUAGAAGUAUCCUGAGUAAAGUGGAGCACGUGAAAUUCUGCUUGAAUUUGCCCAAACCAUUGGGUAAGCCUAAAUACAAGUUAGUCACCGAUAGCGAACAAGUACCGUGAGGGAAAGGUGAAAAGAACCCAGUGAUGGGAGUGAAAUAGAUCAUGAAACCAUAAACUUACAAAGAGUCAGAGCACAUUAAUGUGUGAUGGCGUGCGUUUUGAAGUAUGAGCCGGCGAGUUAUUAUUGCAGGCAAGGUUAAAUUGUCGAAAUGGAGCCGUAGGGAAACCGAGUCUGAAAAGGGCGUUUAGUCUGUAGUAAUAGACCCGAAACGGGUUGAUCUAUUCAUGAGCAAGUUGAAGUAUGAGUAACAUCAUAUGGAGGACUGCACCCACUUUCGUUGAAACGACAGGGGAUGACUUGUGAAUAGCGGAGAAAUUCCAAUCGAAAUCCGUGAUAGCUGGUUCUCGUCGAUAUAAUUGUAGGAUUAGCGUUAAAUUAUGUUUAAAUGGAGGUAAAGCUCUGAAUACAUGAUGGCACCAGCCUGGUGUACUGAAUGUAAUUAAACUGCAAAUGCCAUUUAAAUUACUUUAGCAGUUAGACGGUGGGGGAUAAGCUUCAUCGUCGUGAGGGAAAGAGCCCAGAUCAUCAGCUAAGGUCCCAAAUAUAUGUUAAGUGGAAAACGAAGUUAGAUAUCUUAAACAUCAAGGAUGUUGGCUUAGAAGCAGCCAUCAUUUAAAGAGUGCGUAACAGCUCACUUGCCGAGAUAUCUUGCGCGGAAGAUUCAACGGGGCUAAACAUGUAACCGAAGCUAUGGAAUUAUGAAUUUUGUUCAUAAGUUGGUAGACGAGUGUUGUAUUUAGUUUGAAGGUAGAGUGGAAGCACUACUGGACCGAAUACAAGUAAGAAUGCCGGCGUGAGUAACGAAUGAAAGUGAGAAUCUUUCAAGCCGAAUUGACUAAGAUUUCCAGGACAAGGUUCGUCCAUCCUGGGUUAGUCGGACCCUAAGGUGAGACUGAAAAGUGUAGCCGAUGGAGAAAAUGUUAAUAUUCAUUUACUAAUGAAAAAUAUGAAGGAAUGACCAAGGAGGUUAGUGUGACCAAAUUAUUGGAUUUUUGGGAAAAUAUCAAGUUGGAUAACCAAGCAAAUCUAGUUAUCAUUAACAAUGAGAUAUGAUGACAAGCGAACGUUACGACAAGUAGCGAAGUCACAUGCAAUCAUACUUGCAAGAAAAGUUUCUAGUGCUAAUUUUUUCAUUACCCGUAUUGAGAACGAACACACGUGGUCAAGGAGAAUAUCCUAAGGCUAGCGAGAAAACUAUUGUUAAGGAACUCUGCAAAAUAACCCUGUAAGUUAGCGAUAAAGGGUGCCUAUUUUAACCGAUAGGCCACAGUAAAGAGCGAGGAGGGACUGUUUAACAAAAACACAGCUUUAUGCUAAGUCGUAAGACGAUGUAUAUGAGGUGACACCUGCCCAGUGCUGGAAGGUUAAGGAAUUGAGUUAGAGUCAAAUCAAAGCUUGAAACCGAAGCCCUAGUGAACGGCGGCCGUAACUAUAACGGUCCUAAGGUAGCAAAAUUCCUUGUCGGGUAAAUUCCGUCCCGCUUGAAUGGUGUAACCACUUCUUGACUGUCUCGACAAUAGACUCGGUGAAAUCCUGAUAUGAGUGCAGACACUCAUUAGGCGUGAUUGGACGGAAAGACCCCAUGAAGCUUUACUGUAACUUGGUAUUGAAAAAUUAAUUUAUUUUUAGAGCAUAGGUGGGAGACGUUGAACCAUUGCCGCUAGGUGAUGGGGAGUCAACCAGUGUAAUACCACCAUUAUGAUUUAAUUUUUCUAACCCAUGACGCUUAUCGCGUUAGGGGACAGUGCUAGGCGGGCAGUUUGACUGGGGCGGUCGCCUCCCAAAAAGUAACGGAGGCGCGCAACGGUACCCUCAACACGGUUGGAAAUCGUGUUUCGAGCGUAAUGGUAUAAGGGUGCUUGACUGUGAGACCUACAAGUCGAACAGGUAAGAAAUUAGGUCAUAGUGACCCGGUGGUUCUGCAUGGAAAGGCCAUCGCUAAACGGAUAAAAGCUACUCUGGGGAUAACAGGCUGAUACUGCCCAAGAGUUCAUAUCGACGGCAGUGUUUGGCACCUCGAUGUCGACUCAUCUUAUCCUGGAGCUGUAGCAGGUUCCAAGGGUUCGGCUGUUCGCCGAUUAAAAAGAUACGUGAGUUGGGUUCAAACCGUCGUGAGACAGGUUGGUCCCUAUCUGUCAUGCCCGUAGGAAGAUUGCGAAGAACUGCUCCUAGUACGAGAGGAUCGGAGUGGAGAUACCUCUGAUGUUCCAGUUGUCAUGCCCAUGGCACCGCUGGGUAGUCACGUAUCGAAUGGAUAAAUGCUGAAAGCAUAUAAGCAUGAAACCAGCUUCUAGAUUAAUCUUCCCUACCCGCAAGGGUAAUAAGAAUCGUUAUAGACGAUGACGUUGAUAGGUCAAAAGUGGAAGUGGAGUAAUCCAUUAAGCUAAUUGAUACUAAUCAUUCGAAAGACUUA
rnacentral:rRNA from 1 species